UACCCGCUGAAAUUAAGCAUAUCAAUAAGCGGAGGAAAAGAAACUAACAAGGAUUCCCCUAGUAACGGCGAGUGAAGAGGGAAAAGCUCAAAUUUUGAAUCUGGUGUCUUUGACUCCCGAGUUGUAAUCUAGAGAAGUGUUUUCCGUGUCGGACCAUGCACAAGUUCCCUGGAACGGGGCGUCAUAGAGGGUGAGAAUCCCGUAUAUGGCAUGGACUGCCGAUGCUCUGUGAUACACUCUCAACGAGUCGAGUUGUUUGGGAAUGCAGCUCAAAAUGGGUGGUAAAUUCCAUCUAAAGCUAAAUAUUGGCGAGAGACCGAUAGCGAACAAGUACCGUGAGGGAAAGAUGAAAAGCACUUUGGAAAGAGAGUGAAACAGUACGUGAAAUUGUUGAAAGGGAAAACGCUUGA
rnacentral:rRNA from 1 species